rnacentral:rRNA from 1 species
GACGAACGCUGGCGGCGUGCUUAACACAUGCAAGUCGAACGGAAAGGCCCUGCUUUUGUGGGGUGCUCGAGUGGCGAACGGGUGAGUAACACGUGAGUAACCUGCCCUUGACUUUGGGAUAACUUCAGGAAACUGGGGCUAAUACCGGAUAGGAGCUCCUGCGGCAUGGUGGGGGUUGGAAAGUUUCGGCGGUUGGGGAUGGACUCGCGGCUUAUAAGCUUGUUGGUGGGGUAGUGGCUUACCAAGGCUUUGACGGGUAGCCGGCCUGAGAGGGUGACCGGCCACAUUGGGCCUGAGAUACGGCCCAGACUCCUACGGUAGGCAGCAGUGGGGAAUAUUGCACAAUGGGCGGAAGCCUGAUGCAGCAACGCCGCGUGCGGGAUGACGGCCUUCGGGUUGUAAACCGCUUUCGCCUGUGACGAAGCGUGAGUGACGGUAAUGGGUAAAGAAGCACCGGCUAACUACGUG